AUACGUAGGGGGCGAGCGUUGUCCGGAAUGAUUGGGCGUAAAGGGCGCGUAGGCGGCCCGGUAAGUCUGGAGUGAAAGUCCUGUUUUUAAGAUGGGAAUUGCUUUGGAUACUGUCGGGCUUGAGUGCAGGAGAGGUAAGUGGAAUUCCCAGUGUAGCGGUGAAAUGCGUAGAGAUUGGGAGGAACACCAGUGGAGAAGGCGACUUACUGGACUGUAACUGACGCUGAGGCGCGAAAGUGUGGGGAGCAAACAGGAUUAGAUACCCUGGUAGUCCACACUGUAAACGAUGAAUGCUAGGUGUAGGGGGUAUCGACCCCUUCUGUGCCGCAGUCAACACAAUAAGCAUUCCGCCUGGGGAGUACGGCCGCAAGGUUGAAACUCAAAGGAAUUGACGGGG
rnacentral:rRNA from 1 species